rnacentral:rRNA from 1 species
UCCGUAGGUGAACCUGCGGAAGGAUCAUUGUCGAAACCUGCCCAGCAGAGCGACCCGUGAACACGUUCAACCUCAUGGGUGUUGGGGCGGCAGGUGCCUUGUGUGCUUGCUUGCCCCUAUCCCAGGCCGAGGGGCGCCCACUUGUGAGCCGUCCUCUUGGCCAAACAACGAACCCCGGCGCGUAAAGCGUCAAGGAAUAUAAACUUAAUGUGUGUGCUCUCCCUCUGCCCGGUUAGCCGGUGCGGGGGAGUUGUGCCAUGUCUUAACAAUAAACGACUCUCGGCAACGGAUAUCUCGGCUCUCGCAUCGAUGAAGAACGUAGCGAAAUGCGAUACUUGGUGUGAAUUGCAGAAUCCCGUGAACCAUCGAGUUUUUGAACGCAAGUUGCGCCCGAAGCCUUUGGCUGAGGGCACGUCUGCCUGGGCGUCACGCAUCGCGUCUCCCCCAAACCCACCUCGAGUGGAGGGGAAGGACGAUGGCUUCCCGCGUCUCACCGGACGCGGUUGGCCUAAAAUUGGAGCCCUCGGCAUAGGGAUGCCGCGGCGAUAGGUGGUGAACAUGGCCCCGGCCAAGCAAGCAACCCGUCGCGCGUCGCUGUGCCAUUGCGAGCUCGAAGGACCCUUUGACGUUGCCUCGUUGCAACCAAACCGUUGCGACCCCAGGUCAGGCGGGGCUACCCGCUGAAUUUAAGCAUAUCAAUAAGCGGAGGA